rnacentral:rRNA from 1 species
CGUAAAGCUCUGUUGUUAGGGAAGAACAAGUGCGAGAGUAACUGCUCGCACCAUGACGGUACCUAACCAGAAAGCCACGGCUAACUACGUGCCAGCAGCCGCGGUAAUACGUAGGUGGCAAGCGUUGUCCGGAAUUAUUGGGCGUAAAGGGCUCGCAGGCGGUUUCUUAAGUCUGAUGUGAAAGCCCCCGGCUCAACCGGGGAGGGUCAUUGGAAACUGGGAAACUUGAGUGCAGAAGAGGAGAGUGGAAUUCCACGUGUAGCGGUGAAAUGCGUAGAGAUGUGGAGGAACACCAGUGGCGAAGGCGACUCUCUGGUCUGUAACUGACGCUGAGGAGCGAAAGCGUGGGGAGCGAACAGGAUUAGAUACCCUGGUAGUCCACGCCGUAAACGAUGAGUGCUAAGUGUUAGGGGGUUUCCGCCCCUUAGUGCUGCAGCUAACGCAUUAAGCACUCCGCCUGGGGAGUACGGUCGCAAGACUGAAACUCAAAGNAAUUGACGGGGGCCCGCACAAGCGGUGGAGCAUGUGGUUUAAUU